AGUCAUAUGCUUGUCUCAAAGACUAAGCCAUGCAUGUGCAAGUGCAUACCGCUUGACGGUAAAACCGCGAACGGCUCAUUAGAACAGUUAUUGUUCGCAAGAACUGAUAUCCACUUGGAUAACUGUGGAAAUGCUAGAGCUAAUACACGCCAUGAUGCUUUGGACUUUCUUGGUGCCAAAGCGCGUUUAUUGGUACAAUCUGUCAGCGUUUGAUCGGCCACCUCGUUUGGUGCGUUCGGUUCGCUGUUCAGUUGUUGAAACGGAGUAACUAUGCUGAUCGCACGGUCCUAGUACCGGCGACGAAUCUCUGAAAUGACUUGCUCAUCAACUGUCGAUGGUAGGUUACGUGCCUACCAUGGUGACAACGGUUAACGGAGAAUCAGGGUUCGAUUCCGGAGAAGGAGCCUGAGAGACGGCUACUACAUCCAAGGAAGGCAGCAGGCGCGCAAAUUACCCACUCCCAGAACGGGGAGGUAGUGACGAUAAAUAACGGAACGUAUCUCGAUGAGACGCGUUAUCGGAACGAUUGAGCCGUAUACGAGCUCGACUAAAGCUAUUGGAGGGCAAGUCUGGUGCCAGCAGCCGCGGUAAUUCCAGCUCCAAUAGCGUAUAUUAAAGCUGCUGCGGUUGAACCGCUCGUAGUUGGAUUGCGAUUUUCGGCCACGGUCCUCUAAGUCAAGAGGAUUGGCUCUGCCGCCGUUGGUCAUGAUCGGUAUUGUCAUGCUUGUCCUUGAUGCUCUUUGCUGAGUGUCAUGGGUGACAUGGACGUUUACUUUGAGAAAAUAAGAGCGCUCAAAGCAGGCUGCUCAUAGCUUGAACGGAAUUUCAUGGGAUAGUGAAAGAUGAUCUCGCUGGUAGUCAAAAAACCACGAGGUAAUGAUUAAAAGAGACAGACGGUGGCAUUCGUACUGCUGCGUUAGAGGUGAAAUUCUUGGAUCGUAGCAAGACGAACAAUUGCGAAAGCAUUUGCCAAGAAUGUUUUCAUUAAUCAAGAACGAAAGUUGGAGGAUCGAAGGCGAUCAGAUACCGCCCUAGUUGCGACUUUAAACGAUGCCAACUAGCGAUUCGGCGAUGUCUUUCUAAUGACUCGCUGAGCAGCUCCCGGGAAACCAAAGUCUUUCGGUUCCGGGGGAAGUAUGGUUGCAAAGCUGAAACUUAAAGGAAUUGACGGAAGGGCACCACCAGGAGUGGAGCAUGCGGCUUAAUUUGACUCAACACGGGAAAGCUCACCCGUCCCGAACACUGUCAGGAUUGACAGAUUGAGAGCUCUUUCUUGAUUCAGUGGGUAGUGGUGCAUGGCCGUUCUUAGUUGGUGGAGCGAUUUGUCUGGCCAAUCCCGAUAACGAACGAGACUCUGGCCUACUAAAUAGUGACGGCUCAAUUUGCUUUGCCGAGCACUUCUUAGAGGGACAAGCGGCGGUACAAAGCCGCACGAGAAAGAGCAAUAACAGGUCUGUGAUGCCCUUAGAUGGACGGGGCUGCACGCGUGCUACACUGAUGGCACCAACAUGCGUUCAAGCCUGGCCUGAAGAGGUCGGGUAAUCGUUAGAAAUGUCCGUCGUGACUGGGACAGGGAAUUGCAAUUAUUUC
rnacentral:rRNA from 1 species